UACGGGGGGGGCAAGCGUUGUUCGGAAUUACUGGGCGUAAAGGGCUCGUAGGUGGCCAACUAAGUCAGACGUGAAAUCCCUCGGCUUAACCGGGGAACUGCGUCUGAUACUGGAUGGCUGGAGUUUGGGAGAGGGAUGCGGAAUUCCAGGUGUAGCGGUGAAAUGCGUAGAUAUCUGGAGGAACACCGGUGGCGAAGGCGGCAUCCUGGACCGGUAUUGACGCUGAGGCGCGAAAGCUAGGGGAGCAAACGGG
rnacentral:rRNA from 1 species